rnacentral:rRNA from 1 species
CAGUCGCCGCGGUAAUACGAAGGGUGCAAGCGUUACUCGGAAUUACUGGGCGUAAAGGGAGCGUAGGCGGCGUGGUAAGUCAGAUGUGAAAUCCCGGGGCUCAACCCCGGAACUGCAUCCGAUACUGCCAUGCUAGAGGAUUGGAGAGGUAGCUGGAUUUCUUGGUGUAGCAGUGAAAUGCGUGGAGAUCAAGAGGAACACUCGUGGCGAAAGCGAGCUACUGGACAAUAACUGACGCUGAGGCUCGAAGGCCAGGGUAGCGAAAGGGAUUAGAUACCCCAGUAGUCCCUGUCUCUUAUAC